rnacentral:tRNA from 1 species
GGAGAGUUGUCCGAGUGGCUUAAGGAGCACGCCUGGAAAGCGUGUGUACGGGAAACUGUAUCGAGGGUUCGAAUCCCUUGCUCUCCGCCA